AUUGGACGCUGGCGGCAUGCCUUACACAUGCAAGUCGAACGGCAGCGGGGACUUCGGUCCGCCGGCGAGUGGCAAACGGGUGAGUAAUGUAUCGGAACGUACCUUUCAGUGGGGGAUAACGUAGCGAAAGUUACGCUAAUACCGCAUAUUCUGUGAGCAGGAAAGCAGGGGAUCGCAAGACCUUGCGCUGAUUGAGCGGCCGAUAUCAGAUUAGCUAGUUGGUGAGGUAAAGGCUCACCAAGGCGACGAUCUGUAGCGGGUCUGAGAGGAUGGUCCGCCACACUGGAACUGAGACACGGUCCAGACUCCUACGGGAGGCAGCAGUGGGGAAUUUUGGACAAUGGGGGCAACCCUGAUCCAGCCAUGCCGCGUGAGUGAAGAAGGCCUUCGUGUUGUAAAGCUCUUUCGGCCGGGAAGAAAUCGCAUGGGUUAAUACCCUGUGCGGAUGACGGUACCGGCAUAAGAAGCACCGGCUAACUACGUGCCAGCCGCCGCGGUAAGAC
rnacentral:rRNA from 1 species